CCUCUCAUGGCGUAGUGGUAACGCGCCCCAACUAGAGAUCGGGGAGUCUUGAGUUCGAUUCUCACUGAGAAGA
rnacentral:tRNA from 1 species